AGGUUCUUGUGACAUUGAGCUACAAGGAUUUGACUCCUGAGUCUCAAAAGGACACCAAGUACUGCCAAAUCUCAAACUCUGACAGCAAUUAAAGCCUCAUCUGCAGGCCCUGUAGAAGAUGCCAAUCAAAAUAAACUGUGUUCCUGAGACACAGGGGCAGAAAUUAAAGCUAUUCAACUCCUCAAGGCCAAGGGAUUAUCAUGGAAGAGAGCCAAGGAAAUUUUUUUGAGCUAUUGACAUCUUUUAACAAGUUACUAUACUCCUAUGAACAAAAUUUGGAACAUAUUUGUUUCUCUCUACCUGAUUUCUCCAGAAUUUGGAAACUACUGAAUCAAACUGGACUUAUAGAGCAAAUAAAAAUCCCUUGGGAAAACUGGCCUCAUACCUUGUCUACACAGUUCCUGUACAGGGUUCCUGACCAGUGGAAUCUGAAGCCACCUUAAGGCAAAGGAAUGACUUCCAUGGAAUACAGAUGAAGUUGGUAAAAGGAAAUACAAAGGAGAAAAAGUACAUUUGUUCUGUUCUAUGACUAUUACUCUGAUACACUGGUAAUGCUAUGAUGAUGGAAGGAACAAAUAAAUGUCUCAGGAUCUUGAUCUUCUGAUAAUAGAGAGGGAAGUUAACAGUUCCUGUAUUUACAGGAACUGUAAUAGAGAGGGAAGUUCCUGUAUUUACAGGAAGAAUUUUAGCAGGGUAAACUUCAAAACCAGUAAAGGCUUGCGUGUUGCUACCAUAAAAAAGAACAAGAAAGCCAACCACAAAAAUUAAACACUAAAUUGAGCAAAGAAAGAAAAGGCAAUAUUACUACUGAAGUAUUAGAGAGCACUCACUACUUCCCUAUUUUACCUGCAUGUAUAACCUAUGACGUUACUCAUUUAUUUCUCUGUAUGUCAUUUGAGAAGUGACUUAUGGAGAGAGAAUAGAUAAAAUAGCAUUCCUUAAUUAAAUAUGGUAGGAUGCAACGUAUACAUGACUAAUUUGGGAUAAUAUUUCUUGUGUGUGUGUGUGUGUGUGUGUGUGUGUGUGUUUGAUAGAGUCUCGCACUGUCGCCCAGGCUGGAGUGCAGUGGCACAAUCUCAGCUCACUGCAACCUCUGCCUCCCAGGUUCAAGUGAUUCUCCUGCCUCAGCCUCCCAAGUAGCUGGGAUUACAGGUGCCUGCCACCACGCCCAGCUAAUUGUUUUCGUAUUUUUAGUAGAGAUGGGGUUUCACUAUGUUGGCCAGGCUGGCCUCAAACUCCUGACCUUGUGAUCUGCCUGCCUCUUCGUGUGUGUGUGUGUGUUUCUUUUUUGUUUUUGAGACAGAUUUUCACUCUUCUCACCUUUUUAUAUAAAGAAAAUGCAUCUGGAACAUUUAGAUCAGUUCUUGACCAUAUUAAACAAAUCUUAUAGAAUUAACACAAACCAUGUUAUCUAAAUCUUGGGAUUUUGAGCCUAAAAGCCUGUGCCUUAAUUUAUAAUCAAAGGUCAAAAAGGUCAGAUCUAUAAAGAGAAGGUACAAUGAUGAACACUAGGUGAUUGCUUUGAAAACUUUCUUGCAAACGUAGCUUACUUGGGGAUUUUUGUUAAUAUAUCUAAUUCCGUAAGCCUGGGUGAAGCCUUGGAUUCUGUAUGACUCAGGAGCCCUUGGGACACUGUAGUGCUCUUAGUGGUAGAGCACCCUUUGAGCAGGAUACUGAAGAAGAGCUAUUUGACUUGAAUGGCCUGGCUGGGUUUCCAAAUUUUCUGGGGUGUUCUUGGACUUCUAUUUUUCUAAUUCACUUAUGUAGCAUCGUGAAAAGUUUUCUGAAUAUUCUCAUUGGAAUCACGUUCAACUUCUAGGUAAAUUUGAGAGGAAAUAGAAAUAUUUACAACAGUGAAUCUUCCUACUUAUUAAUUAUGCCUUUCUCAAGAUAUAUUCACUUUGUUUUAUGUCCAUCUGUUAGAUUCUGUAAUUUUCUGAAUAGCAGUUUUGUACAUCAUUUUGCAUGUUUUGUUC
rnacentral:lncRNA from 1 species